GCAAGGUUAACCGAAUAGGGGAGCCGAAGGGAAACCGAGUCUUAACUGGGCGUUAAGUUGCAGGGUAUAGACCCGAAACCCGGUGAUCUAGCCAUGGGCAGGUUGAAGGUUGGGUAACACUAACUGGAGGACCGAACCGACUAAUGUUGAAAAAUUAGCGGAUGACUUGUGGCUGGGGGUGAAAGGCCAAUCAAACCGGGAGAUAGCUGGUUCUCCCCGAAAGCUAUUUAGGUAGCGCCUCGUGAAUUCAUCUCCGGGGGUAGAGCACUGUUUCGGCAAGGGGGUCAUCCCGACUUACCAACCCGAUGCAAACUGCGAAUACCGGAGAAUGUUAUCACGGGAGACACACGGCGGGUGCUAACGUCCGUCGUGAAGAGGGAAACAACCCAGACCGCCAGCUAAGGUCCCAAAGUCAUGGUUAAGUGGGAAACGAUGUGGGAAGGCCCAGACAGCCAGGAUGUUGGCUUAGAAGCAGCCAUCAUUUAAAGAAAGCGUAAUAGCUCACUGGUCGAGUCGGCCUGCGCGGAAGAUGUAACGGGGCUAAACCAUGCACCGAAGCUGCGGCAGCGACACUAUGUGUUGUUGGGUAGGGGAGCGUUCUGUAAGCCUGUGAAGGUGUGCUGUGAGGCAUGCUGGAGGUAUCAGAAGUGCGAAUGCUGACAUAAGUAACGAUAAAGCGGGUGAAAAGCCCGCUCGCCGGAAGACCAAGGGUUCCUGUCCAACGUUAAUCGGGGCAGGGUGAGUCGACCCCUAAGGCGAGGCCGAAAGGCGUAGUCGAUGGGAAACAGGUUAAUAUUCCUGUACUUGGUGUUACUGCGAAGGGGGGACGGAGAAGGCUAUGUUGGCCGGGCGACGGUUGUCCCGGUUUAAGCGUGUAGGCUGGUUUUCCAGGCAAAUCCGGAAAAUCAAGGCUGAGGCGUGAUGACGAGGCACUACGGUGCUGAAGCAACAAAUGCCCUGCUUCCAGGAAAAGCCUCUAAGCAUCAGGUAACAUCAAAUCGUACCCCAAACCGACACAGGUGGUCAGGUAGAGAAUACCAAGGCGCUUGAGAGAACUCGGGUGAAGGAACUAGGCAAAAUGGUGCCGUAACUUCGGGAGAAGGCACGCUGAUAUGUAGGUGAAGCGACUUGCUCGUGGAGCUGAAAUCAGUCGAAGAUACCAGCUGGCUGCAACUGUUUAUUAAAAACACAGCACUGUGCAAACACGAAAGUGGACGUAUACGGUGUGACGCCUGCCCGGUGC
rnacentral:rRNA from 1 species